rnacentral:rRNA from 1 species
GUAUAUGGCCAUACCACUAUGGACACGCCCUAUCUCCUUGAUCUUGGAAGCUAAGUGUGGUCGGGCCUGGUUAAUACUUUGAUGGAAGACCUAAGGUGGAAUUGUGUGUAUAGUACC